rnacentral:pre_miRNA from 1 species
GCAGGUGUGAUAAGGUUGCCUUGCUCUUGCAUUCUCUUAGAUAAUUUGAUUCAGCUUGCUGCCUGAAUUAAAUUUUUUGGUAGAGAGAAUUCGAGAGCAAGGCUACCUCAUGAUACGUGCAG